UUUAUGGUUUUGAUCAAACCAAUUUCCUCCCGCACGGGUCUUUUACAGUACUUUUGGGUUUUUCUGGGUUAAUGCAUCUUCCACGGUUCGUGCAACUUUGUUGAGUUUUGUCAGUUGCCUUGGAUCUUCUCUCCCUAGCUUUCAUAUAUGCUUUUGGAUGGGUCUAUGAGAUUGAGACCUGAUUUUCAAAAUCAAAUUCUGGACUAAUGGGGUUUGGAUUGAUCGCCGUCGUGGUUGAAGGGGAAUAUUGAUAAGUGGAACCGGGUGAUUUAUCCCAAUGUGAAUAAUGGGGUUUACAGGUUCAUUUGUUUUGUUGCAAGGAUGAAGAGACUUUGCUGCUAAACAUCUGGGCUUCAAAAGUUUCUCAGUUGAAAAAAAGGUCAAGAAAUUCCUAAUCAUAUCGUGCCAAACAAUAUGGCAUCAAUUUAAUUGUCUCAUGUUCUGCUGGGGACUUCACUUUUCUUAUUGGAGAUUGGUACAAGACGAAUCACUUGAUAUUGAAGGCUAUAUUAGAUGGCUGUCAUAGGCUUCCUUCCCCUCCUGAUUAACAGUGGCGGCAGCGGUGCAUUUUUCACUUUUGAACAAGUUAUGUGCCUUGCCUGCUACUUUCGUUUUCUAAUUAACAAUUACACAACAUGAUGCAGAUUAAUAGCAACAAGACUUCAAUUUCAAGUAAAUUGGAAGACAUGACCACCAAAGAUGUUGGCGCGAGCUUUGAUUUGCUACGGUGAGUUGGCGUGGGAACCUAUAAUGUAACUUUCUAUUGCCAUUGAUUCUUAUGACUGUGAAAUCAAUUUCCUAUAUAUAUACUCUUUCUUUGCUAUUGAUUCGUGCAUAUAAUUGAAAGAAAAAGCAGCAUAGGAGAGACAACAGACUCGGCGAGAGCCUCCUUGAAGACCAAAAUUUGAGAUAACGAGUGAGAUUGGGGACUUUUAGCGAGUGAUGCUAAGUUAUGUUUGUAGUUAUUCACUCCUGCUCCUGUCACAAAUUACUGAGCUGAGGCAGAGUUUUAUUUUUUUUUCAUUUUAUAUCUCCACAAGGACUCGCUGGUGAUAGACAGGUUAUGAUAAGACCUUGCGAGUUUUGUCAAUUGAGUCUUGCCUUCAUUUCCUGUUAUGAUUCUGUUUAGGUGAAUUAGGGACUCUUUAGAUGAUUAACCAUUUUAGCUGUAUUGAUCAUGAUACAUAAGUUGUUAGUUUGAGGAAAAGAUAGAUCAUGACAAUACAAAGGCAUUCACUCAUGUAAUACUCUAUUGAAUGUUAAUAAGAAGAGUUCCUUUCCGCUUCAAA